AGACCACCCAACAAAUCAACACAAGCCCCCAAUUUUAAGGCAUCAAUGGGACAUGUCGCAGAAGCUGGAGGUGGUGGGCAUCCUGGCCCUCCAGUAUAGGGUGGCGGUCCACCAAUAAUUGGAGUGACAACAGGUGGGAGUUCGAUCGGUGGCUUUGUGAUGGGGGGAACGGUAACGGGAGGGAGCUCGAUCGGUGGCUUUACAAUGGGAGGAACGGUAACGGGAGGGAGAUUGAUUGGUGGCUUUACAACGGGGGGAACGGUAACGGGAGGGAGAUUGAUGGGUGGCUUUACAACAGGGGGAACGGUAACCGGAGGUUUGAUGACCGGGGGCUUAACGAUGACCGGAGGGGGUUUGAAGGGGGGCUUUACAACAGGGGGAACGGUAACCGGAGGUUUGAUGACCGGGGGCUUAACGAUGACCGGAGGGGGUUUGAAGGGGGGCUUAACGAUGACGGGUGGGUAUGUUUUCGGGGGUUUGUAUUUGGG
rnacentral:lncRNA from 1 species